rnacentral:sRNA from 1 species
GCAAAAAGCCCGUCCCAAGCCCUGCAUGGGCUCCUACUGCACUUCAGGAUUUGGGGGAAUGCAGAAUCGUGGUCUUUGAGUUUUCAUUAAUUCAAUAAAGAUUUCUCAAAAGCCUAAAUUCUAGAUCCAAGACAGUGGGAAUUAAACAGGGCUGAAUAUGACGCUAUUGGCUAUACCAGGACCACGCCUGAGCAUUGCAUGCACGCUCCAGCUAUGCAUAACUUAUUUAUUUUAAAAGAAGGAAGGAAGAGAGGGAGGGAAACAAGGUGUUUCUUAAGAGUAGAGGAGGGGAGAGGCAACUUGUUGCUUUCACUGGCAGCAGUUAACUCCAUAAGCAAUUUCCUCACUUAAAAGAAAAACAAAUGAAGUAGAGUGGUAGGCUUUUGAAAGGAGGAGCAGAGAGCUCUGGUGAGUGGAAACCUGGCUUUUAUUUACCUUAGGGCCUUGUUAAAACACAUUUGCCUUGAGAUAAAAGGGUUUCUUUUGGGACGAUCCCAAAAUGACUUUGCUUGAUUCAAUUAAGCAAGACCUAACGAAAGAGAAUUCCAGCUUCAAGAUACGCAUCAUCUCACCAGCAGGCAUGUAUCCAGUAGAUGUGUUGGAAGAUGAUCCUGACGCACAUCAGGAAGCAGCUCUGGCUUACUAUGCCUCAUUUAGGGAAGGAGCUGGGGCCCCAGCUGAGGUUUUCUGUCUUCCCACUGGGGAGAAGGAAGUUUUGGCUGGGUGCAGCGGCUCACGCCUGUAAUCCCAGCAUUUUGGGAGGCAGAGGCGGGCGGAUCACCUGAGGCCAGGAGUUCGAGAC